ensembl:rRNA 5S_rRNA 5S ribosomal RNA
GCUCAUGGCCACACCGCCUGGUUCACGGCUGAUCUCGUUUGAUCUCGGAAGCUAAGAUAGGUUGGGCCUGGUUAGUACUUGGAUGGGAGACCGCCUGGGAAUACCAGGUGCUGUAAGGC